CACACUUACCCGCCCGCUCCAGGGGAGAUUGACAGCUUUUCAUGCUUCUACGCCAAGAGAGUGGCAAGUCCUGUAUUGACUGAUUAUACUGUCCCUCGCACAUAAGGCUGAUCUCCCGUCUGCUGCCUGUACCUGCAGGUUGUUUGUUUCUUAUGCGGCCCUGCAGGAAGCACUUAUCGAAGGAGCAUGAAAGCCCCCCUCUGAGUGAACAAGAAAAGGACCUGUCCCAUUAUUACCACUCCGGGGAAGGCAUCCAACCUUGACAAAGAAAUGCCAGAUGCUGUUCCUGCAGUCCAUCCCAGCUUUUGCAUCGGUCAUGCAUUAUUAAACAAGAUGAUAAAGAAAAGAGGAGCAUUAAGGAUGACUCCAUAACUUACUAGAUGAAUUAAGAACCCAUUUACUGACUCAGGGAAACUAGAAGGAGGAGUAAAUGGUCUUGGACUUAUUAAGUUGGACAUGCUUGUAUAUGGAGAUGUCAAAUAAAUUUGGAGAUGCUUGAACAAAGAAAUCAAUACACUGAGAAGGAUGGAAGGCAGGUCACUCAAGUCAAGAAAGGGAGUUAAAAAUAAGGAGUUAUCUAACGUUACUUAAAAAUAAUGGAGUUACCUAAAAAUAAGAGAACAAAAUGCUAUUUCCACUAAAAGGGACCAGAAGUCUUUGGGGAAAAGGUUGAUCACUGGCCUACGUCACAGAAAGAACAAUAGGCACCUGGAUCACAUUGUGCCGGAAAACAAAGAAGUGUCAAAGAAUCACAGAGACGUAUCCAAGAUAUAGGAGCCAGCUUGAAGGAUUUCCUCUGAUCCGAAGUGGGACAAUAUCAUAGUCUCAAACUAAGCAAUAGUUGUCAUUUUUUAUAUAAUUCCCCUUGAAUAGAAUAAA